rnacentral:lncRNA from 1 species
GCCCGGGCUUCCGGGUGCCGUGUUCUCCGCGACACAGAGAGCUGGGUCGGCGACCUGGCGGAGCUGGACCCCUGUCUGACCUGGGUUACCGGGUGGACAGUUGUCGCGCCGCGGAGCUGCGCAAGAUCCAGGCGCGCAGGCGCGUGUUAGCGCAGACCGACGGCUCUGCCUAUGUAGAGCAAUCUUCACACCCAGGCGCUGGCAGUGGUCUACGGGCCGCACGAGGCGAGCGGGCAGCGCCUCCCUUUUACGCACGAAUGCUCAAUGCCGCCUGUCGGAUGAGUAAAUGCCCAAGUUAUUAAGGUGCAUCCCUGGGUAUGCCCUGUCUCUCUCCUGCGCCCUGCACUCCGCAGUCGGGCUCCUCAUCAUGUCAGGCUGUCGCCCAUUCGGCCACUUCCCCGCAGUUCUACUCACGUCACGUUUGGGAACGUCAUUUCUACUUAAUCUUACUCGUUUGUCUUUCACGGAAACAUAAACUCUCUGAGAGCCUCGACUUUAAAUAAAAUUGUCUGAUUUUAUUGCUACGUUCUACGCUGUAAAAGUGCCUCCCCAAUACAGAAAUAAUUUUUAAUUGCUUAGCACAUAAUGUGAGAGCCCAACUUCCUAGGUGAAAGAAGCCAGGAUGAAGGCAAUGGAUAGAAACAAACAUGACAUUUCUGCAAAGCCGAAAGAAUGCUGGUGGAUGGAGAGGAGAUAAUUCCAAAUAACCGUUUCCAGGGAGAUCGGGGUUCCAAGUCUGCCUGACCGGGCUCUGGUGAACUGUCAGUAUAGUUCAGCAACCUUCAGCACAGGUGAGCGCAAGCAGAGGCCACAUGGAGGCUGUAAGACCUGUGAAAUGGGCCUACAGCUGUGCCAGACCUUUUCUUACUGAGCUGCACCCACGAUCCCAGAUUGACAUCUGUGUGCAGGUGCUGCAGGCUGAUAGUGGAACCUAUGCAGCUUGUGUGAUGGCAGUGUUGGAUGCUGGGAUACCCAUGCCGGACUUUGUGCAUGUUCAGCUGGUUUUGUGGAAGACACAGCCCUGGGAGACCUCAGCCACGUAGAGGAAACAGCUGGUGGUCCCCAACUAGCCCUGGCCCUGCUGCCAGCCUCAGGCUGGAUUGAAAUGGAUGCCCGGCUGCAUGAGGACCACUUGCAGCGGGUGCUAGAGGCCACUGCCCAAGCUGCUAGAGAUGUGCACACCUUGUUGGACCAUGUGGUAUGGCAAUAUGUGCAUGAGGCAUCUAUCUUGCUGGGGGACUGAGCACCCAGCCACCUAUGUCCAGAAUAAAGUCUGCUCAACAACAAUAACAAAAGCAACUAGUUUCAAGUGGCCCAUACCUCUAGUCCCAGUCACUCAGGAGACUAAGGCAGGAGGACCCCUUGAGUCCAGGAGUUGGAGGCCAGUGUGGGCAACAUAGUGAGACAAAAGAAGAAAGGAGAGGAAAGGAAGACAAACAGGUUUGUGUUAUUUAUUUUUUUAAAUAUUUUUUUGGUACCAGGGAUUGAACUCAGGGGCGCUCAACCACCGAGCCACAUUUUGUAUUUUAUUUACCGUCAGGUUCUCAUUGAGUUGCUUAGUGCUUCACUUUUACUGAGGCUGGCUUCAAACUCGGGAUCCUCUUGUCUCAGCCUUCAGAGCCGCUGGGAUUACAGGCGUGUGCCACUACUCCCUGCCCAGGUUUGUGUUUGUAAAUGAGGAGAUAUAAACUGGGCACAGUCGCUAAUGCCUGUAAUCCCAGUAGCUUGGGAGGUUGAGGCAGAAGGAUCAAAAGUGCAAGGCCAGCCUCAGCAACCUGGCGAGACCCUGUCUCAAAAUAAACAAUAAAAAGGGUUGGGGAUGUGCUCAGUGGUACAGUGCCCCGGUUCAACCCCCAGCACCAA